AAGCACUGUUGUUGUAGUAAUGUUAACAAACUUGUGUUGCAAGAAAUCACGUGGACAACAACCAAUAAGGGAGUAGAGGAUUCAAACCAUGUCACGUAUUUGUAUUGCACAAAUGGAUAAUGUAUUUUUCCAAAUAUACUUAGAAUAUUGAUCUACAAAUUGAUCAUAAAAACAUCUUAACACACUUCCCAAUUACCAGUUAAAAUUUGCAUUAGUGCCUAGUUUUUGGUUGUGUCAUAAAACACCCAGUGCUGUUGGGGGAUCCUCACAAUGAUGGCUAUUGUUAUCAUAAAAUAUUGACUGAGAGCCUGCAACGCACAUGUGCCCCUGCAGGGUGGCAUAGACGGCGAGCCCAGGGAGGCCACUGACAUGCAUUCAAGAGAAAAGAAAAGAAGCCAGGCUUUGGUCAGUUGUGAAUAUACCAUCUCCUGACUCCCAAGCAUUGGUUCAUCAUCCAGCUGGCAAUUGUUGAGCCUCAGCCAAUGGUGGAACCAAAAUCUAGUAUCUCUGGAGUAAUUUCCAUUUCCAACAGAAGGAGAGUGACUUUCACUGACUCUUACUCUCCAUUUGGAUUUCAGGCAUAAGUGCUUCAUGGUGGAGUGAGAAUGGCUUGCCCUGGAAGGGUCAUGUUUUAGAAGGAGUGAUCUUCAUUGUGAAGUCUAAACUGUUCUGGAAAUAUAAGCUUUGAAACCCAGUACUGAAUUCUCACAGGAAGUCUCAGACGAAGACACUGCUAACUCCACUUUCAGAGAGAAACACUGAGGCUCAGAGCUAAACUAACUCGCCUCAGAGCCCACAUCCUGGACUUGAGCCUCAGGGUGUUGCAUGCCAAAGCCUGUCCUCUUCACCCCAGCUUCCUGGGCAUUGGAGCGGAUCCAUAGUGUUAGAUAUGCAGUGGGAAUGGCCCCCAUUCCAAGCCACUUCCUGACCUGAUGGCAGCACCCUGCUAGUCCUCACAUGGAGCCCUGGAGAAGCCGGGUUCCUUAACCCAGAUUUGAAUCAAUAGCCUCACACCUGGUAUGCACAUCCAGGCCAAGUGUGGCUGAAUGGGGAGCAUCUGUUCUGGAGACGGCCACCCUCAUGGGCUCCUCUGCUUCCUGUCCCUUCGGGCACUGAUUUAUGGCACACAGCAGGGAAGGGCCUGAGCUUGAGCCCUGACCAUCGUUAUCAUCACCAUCUUCAUUCCAGUGCAGUGAAGAACAUUCUGAAGGUAGAGAUGAAGGUCUUCUUUCUGAAUGAAGCUCCUUGCAUGAUUCAGGGAUCUUCCUCUUGAAGGCACCAAUCAUUUUGACUUUAAUGCAUGCACUCUGACUUACUUGUGGUGAUCUCUCCUGGAAAUACAUGGAAAAAUGAAAAAUAGGCUAACUGGGGAGAUUUCUUAAAUACCAGUUUGUAUGGCUGUGUUAACCUGAAUGAUUAAAUAUAGGAUUGUUUUUUAAGUUACACAUUGUGGGUUUGUGUUUUCCUCAUUAAUAUCAAUUGGUUCAUUUAUUUCUGCUUGCUCUGAAGCCACAGAGUUCAACAGAACUGCCUGUGUGUUUGCUGCAUCUACUAAACUGCCAUGAUCUUACUGAAUAUAUUUCUUAAUAUCCUUUUUAUGUAUGUCAUUUUUGUUAAGUUCUUGAACCAGAACUGAAAAAAAGAUUAAAACGUUAUCUAUUUACAAAACUUUUUUUGAUGUUUUGGUAACAAAACAAUUUUGCACUUAAAGUUCCCACUUCAG
rnacentral:lncRNA from 1 species